AGCAGCCGCGGUAAUUCCAGCUCCAAUAGCGUAUAUUAAAGUUGUUGCAGUUAAAAAGCUCGUAGUUGAAUUUCGGGAUUAGUAGUCUGGUCGUGCCACUGGUAUGUACUGGUCUUACUGAUUUCUCCUUCCUGAAGAACUGUAAUGUCAUUAAUUUGGUGUUGCGGGGAAUCUGGACUGUUACUUUGAAAAAAUUAGAGUGUUUAAAGCAGGCUAACGCUUGAAUACAUUAGCAUGGAAUAAUGAAAUAGGACGUUCGAUCCUAUUUUGUUGGUUUCUAGGAUUGACGUAAUGAUUAAUAGGGAUAGUUGGGGGCAUUAGUAUUCAAUUGUUAGAGGUGAAAUUCUUGGGUUUAUUGAAGGCUAACUACUGCGAAAGCAUUUGCCAAGGAUGUUUUCAUUAAUCAAGAACGAAAGUUAGGGGAUCGAAGACGAUCAGAUACCGUCGUAGUCUUAACCAUAAACUAUGCCGACUAGGGAUCGGAUGAUGUUAAUUUUAUAAUGACUCAUUCGGCGCCUUA
rnacentral:rRNA from 1 species